GCACCCCGCUUGCCGGCCACUAAGGGAAGCCGGCGUCUGCGGCCGGAGUUUGCGCGCGUUGGUCACGUGUCGGCCGCCGUAAGCGUUGGAGGCCUUCGUGUGCGGGUCGCCGCUGUAAGUGGGCGCAGCCUCGAUAUGUUAGGCGGCUGGGAGAGAGCGCGGGGCCGGUCAGUGAGCGUGGCCGCGAUUCGUGGUGUUCCGUGUAGGGUGCUGGAGGGCUGAGGAGAGUCAGGCCGUGACUCCGGGAGAUGUGAGUGAAAGCGGGCGGCGCCACGUCGGGAGCUCGGCGCAGUCCUCCGUCCGCGAGCGCUCCCUCAGGGGGCCCUGCCCGAGGGCCCGCGACGUCCGCGCUGCGGAGGGCCCGGAAGGCCUGGGAUUGGGAGCCGGCCGGGACGACGCCUCGGUCGUGGAUGAGGAAAUCGCACCCGUCCGCCAGGCCACGGCCGGCUUGUAUUUGUUCCCCGCGGUGGGCGCCCUAGAGGCGAAGUAACCUGCCCCAAAUUGCACACCUGUAGGGACCAGCGACGAUGAAGUCUGCAAACUCGUUUUUAAACCGUGGGACUAGCGUGUCCAGUGUCAGGCUUUGUGUCCUUGUGCUCUUACCUGAGUACUGCAGGAUAGCAUUCCAGAGACCACGGUGUGGUAUUUCAAGCAGUGCGGUGACACGUUAAACUGUACAGAGCAGUUCAGUUUUACCUCCUUGCCCAGCGGUUAAUAGGACGCUGGGAAUUAGACCCAUUAUUACUAAUUAGUUAAUACUGAUUAGGAAAGUUGCUUCAGAAAAGAAACAUUCUUAGAGCAGCGGUUCUUGGGACAGAGGGAGGAGGCGGGCCAGUGUCAAGGGUGGUAAAAGAAUUCACCAAAGAAAGAAUGAAAAUGGAAAAGGAGUUUAUUAGGGUAUGGUGCCAUAGACAACAGUGGGCCACACUGACAGGUGCCUUUGUGAGCCCUCUGGGUUCACCCUGGGAGGGUGGCAAGGUGCCUGAUCGACUUGUGCACAAGCCUCUGACUGGUUGUAGGUGAGGCAGAUAGUUCAGGGUCCGCCAAGGACUGGGGUUUGAGGUAGGCUGAAGCCAGCCUGAGCGACUGUGAAAUUAGGCAUUAUCAAGGGCUAUUAGUCUGUUAAGAUGAACACACCCAGAAGAGACUAUUUUAUCUUUUGAAGAUGUCUGAGAGCCCAGGACUUUAAAGAACAGCAGUUGGCCCCACAGUUCUUAACUUUUUUUUUUUUUUUUUUUGGCAGGGAGAGGUUUUAUGGAUAUUGAAAAUGUGAAGAAAGUUUACAUACAUUCAGAUUGAGAAACUUGAGACUGGAAUCAUUCUCUGUUUGGGCUUCCUAGAAAGCAUCCAACAACAGGAAGCCUGCAGGACCACACUGUGCUCCUAAUGUUAAGACAUUGAAAUGAGAAGUAUUUUUUCUAUCAUCAGCCCAGCAGUGGGGCUGCAGGCAUGGAGUGGUACUGCUGAAGAUCCCCACUAGUAGAAAUUGGCACCUCUUGUGUCUGAAGUGACCUCUUUGAAUCCAGAAAUGUAAUCGCACUUUUCUCCUUUAUUUUGGGUCACUUUUUGACCGAAAUCUGUGCCCUGUCGUAGAGUAUCUUUUACCUAAAGAAUAGAAAAAAAAGGUUAGGACAGGUGGGCAGAUAGCAUGUCGUGCUGAAAAAGAAUGUCUUACACUGCUUUUCUCAUCCUGUUCUUCAGUUCUUUGUGUGGUUCGUGUUGAAUACUGAUAAAAUGACCUCCAUGGUCAAGAGAAGGUAAGUCCUAAAGGCAGCAGAAUGAAGAAUUUGGUGUUAUCAUCCCCGGACCACAGAGCAUGGAAUCCUUAAAUAGUUGUGCCACAGGAACUUAAGAGUUCUUGAAAGGUUCACAUUUCCCCAGACCUGGUCUGAGAGCCAGAAGUCUGGUGGAUGAUGGGUGUACAACAGGCACUGACCAACAGUCUUGUUUUUCACCCAGGAUUCUUCUUGCCUGAGCUUGAACCUAGUUGGAAAGUCCACCUCCUUUAGUUGUUGGGAAGGCAAAGGUCAGCCAACCAAGUGAGUGAAGGGAGAUGAAUAAAAUAGUAUAACAUGGUGAUUGAGAACACGCUUUGGAGUUAAGUGUCCUGAUUUUGGUUGUUGAACAUGGUGCUUCCCAGGUGGGUGGCCUUGGACACGCUAUUGAACUCUGAGCUCGGUUUCCUCAUCUGUGAGCUGAAGGUAAUUCCUAGUGCCUUCAUGGAGUUGUGAGCACUAAAGGAGAACAUUUUUGUGAAGCACACAGUAAGGGCUCAGUAAAUGGACUGAUGUUACUAAGAUAGUAGCCCUUGUCUUUAAGUCUCUUGGAGCUUAUCCCCACCCUAAACACUGUGAAAGGUUUUUAACUAUUUUUUUCUAGUAGGAUUCUUGUUUUGAAAGAUUUUGUUUAUUAUCAGAUUUUAUUUGUGAAGUGAUAAUUCAGUUUCCCUUUACUAAUCAAAAAUGUGACUGACAUGCAGAGGUCUUUGCCUCCUUAUAAUAAAUAAUCUCACUGAGUUCUUGUUAUUCCAGCUAAAAGCAAAGAACUGUGAUGUUAUAGCUGGAACAGUUUUAUGAUGAGUGAGACUUAAGAUUUCCAGUAGGCUCCUUGAAACAUUGUUUAGGGGUCAGGAACUCCCUGUUCCUUUUCAUUGGUUCUAGACUAGACCUUUCUCAAUCUAAACACAUCUUCAUAGCAAACAACAUUAAACUGGGGUUCGGCUGGAUUCUCUAGAGACUUUGAGCUGUGCAUGACUUCAUUUGUCCUGGAGAUUCCAAUCCAUUGACUUGAACUGUCGUAUUUCAGGCUUCAGUGCAAAAGGAUUAAAGCUAAUGGCUAAAUUUUCUCGAGCUA